rnacentral:lncRNA from 1 species
AUGGGGAGGAGUUCUUCCCUCGGGACUGGGUCGGGACGCGGUGCCGGGAGCUCCGCCCCGGGUCCGGGGGGGUCCAGCGAGUCCCCAGCUCCAUCGGGGACCGACCCCGGCGUGUGCCGAGGGGAUCCGCGGGACCGGGAGCUGCUGCAGAGAGCCCCGGGGGGCAGAGGGAUGGGCAGAGGGAUGGAGCAGCGCUGCUGGAACAGCUGGGGGAGUCCUGCUUUGGGCAGGAGAAGCUUUGGGGUGACCUCAGUGUGGCCUCGCAGGGGCCGACAGAAAACGAUGGGAGAGAGACAAUUCCCAAGGGCUGGAGUGACAGGACACAGGGAAUGGCUUCGCACUGACACAGGGCAGGGGGAGAUGGCAUUUUGGAGGAAAAUUCCUCCCUGUGAGGGAGAUGAGGCCCAGCGCAGCUGUGGCUGCCCCAUCCCUGCCAGGACACCGGGGCUUGGAGCAGCUGGGGCAGCGGGCGGUGUCCCUGCCCUGGCCGGGACGAGUUUGAUGUCCCUCGGACGCCAGCCCGGGCGGUGGCCGUGGGGGCUGCCCUGCUCACCUCCCUCAGCACCUCCCGGAGCUGCUCCUCGCUGCGGCAGCCGCGCUCCCGCAGCGCCUGCAACACACGGGGCCCGUCAGCGCCGCGGCCGCGGCCCGCUGCCCCGGCCCCGCCCGGCCCCGCGCUACCCGGCCGUGGUCCCGGCGGAGCUGCGCCGCGUCCCGGUACCGCACGUGCAGCCCGAAGCGCCCCACGAAGAUGUUGUCGGUGAAAAAGCAGGCGCAGCCGCGGAACGGCCGGGCCGCCGACAUGUUUCCUGCCGGCGGACGCCUCCCGGCCCGGCCCUCGAAGGGCUCCGCUUCCGUCCGCGGGAGGGCGCGUCGGCAAAUUCCCAACCGGGCCCAAACGGAGAGCGGCGGGACUCGCGCGUUCUGCCCGGUUUGACGCUCCUUGUUUUUGUCAUCUCCGUGACGCCACCGCGGCGCGGCCCCGCGGCGCGGCCGCUGUCCCGCAGGGCUCUCUGCCGGGCCGGGCCC